UACGGGGGGAGCAAGCGUUGUUCGGAUUUACUGGGCGUAAAGGGCGCGUAGGCGGUCAGCACAAGUCAGUUGUGAAAUCUCCGAGCUUAACUCGGAAAGGUCAACUGAUACUGUGCGACUAGAGUGCGGAAGGGGCAACUGGAAUUCUUGGUGUAGCGGUGAAAUGCGUAGAUAUCAAGAGGAACACCUGCGGCGAAGGCGGGUUGCUGGGCCGACACUGACGCUGAAGUGCGAAAGCCAGGGGAGCGAACGGG
rnacentral:rRNA from 1 species